ensembl:misc_RNA 7SK 7SK RNA
AGAUGUGAGGGUGACCUGCUGCAACACCUGUCACCCCAUUGACCAACCAGGUUGAUUCAGCCGAUCAGGACUGGGUGCCCGCUUCCUCCCGCAAUGCUCCAGGUGUGUCUCCCCUAAAGCUUCGUGCUCAGUCAGAGAGGACGACCACCCCCGAUAGAGAAGGGCCAUUCCUCAGUCAGGGGCAGAUGAGUAGCUUGUGUGGAGGCUCUCAAGGUCCAGGUGCUCCCACCACCAAGUCGCUCUGCUGUUUCCCAGGGAUGACGCGCCGAUGUGGGGCUCUUAGUCCUGUCCU